UUCAAGUUGCGUUAGCGGAUUGAAGUGGCAUCCUUUUUUGAAGUGAAACGCAAAAAAAGAUAAAACGGAAAGCGCGACCCGCC
rnacentral:sRNA from 1 species